rnacentral:rRNA from 1 species
AUUGAACGCUGGCGGCAGGCCUAACACAUGCAAGUCGAGCGGAUGAAGGGAGCUUGCUCCUGGAUUCAGCGGCGGACGGGUGAGUAAUGCCUAGGAAUCUGCCUGGUAGUGGGGGAUAACGUCCGGAAACGGGCGCUAAUACCGCAUACGUCCUGAGGGAGAAAGUGGGGGAUCUUCGGACCUCACGCUAUCAGAUGAGCCUAGGUCGGAUUAGCUAGUUGGUGGGGUAAAGGCCUACCAAGGCGACGAUCCGUAACUGGUCUGAGAGGAUGAUCAGUCACACUGGAACUGAGACACGGUCCAGACUCCUACGGGAGGCAGCAGUGGGGAAUAGUGGACAAUGGGCGAAAGCCUUAUCCAGCCAUGCCGCGUGUGUGAAGAAGGUCUUCGGAUUGUAAAGCACUUUAAGGUGGGAGGAAGGGCAGUAAGUUAAUACCUUGCUGGUUUGACGUUACCAACAGAAUAAGCACCGGCUAACUUCGUG